AAUUUAUAUAUAUGUACUUACUAAAAUUACCUAAUUACAUUAUAUACUAAUUUGCUAAAAUAUUUACACAUAUCUCAAAUUAUAUAUAUAAAUUCCUUUACUUUCAACUUUCUCUUUCUUAAACAUUAUACAUCUCACAAUUCCAAUAUCUCUUCUGUAAUUCACUCCCCCAUAUGCUCCCACAUAAAUCCCUUUCCUUUUAACUCUCUCUUUUUUAAUCAUUACACAUGUGAAACACUGAUUUUGGUAAAAAAAAAAAAUAAUACAAUAUUUUUGAGAUGAUGAUGUUUGAGGAAAUGAGGUUCUGUGGCGAUCUUGAUUUCUUCCCUGCUCCGCUAAAGAAAGUGAAAGUGGAAGUGGUUGCCCCACAGAAUCGGAUUGAGCCGGAUUCUGUGGUGGAUGAUGAUUAUAGUGAUGAGGAGAUUGAUGUUUAUUAGCCUAACUUUGAUGUUCAUGAUCAAUUCUAUUUGCUGAGCUUAUAUUCUAUGCUAUGUACUGAUUUGUCGUAACAACGACUGCAAGUGGGUGUUGGGGGCGUCUUCUAUGAAUGAAUUGAAAAUUAAUGCUUAUAUGAAAAGUGGGUGUUGAAGGCAUCUUAUCCUUAUUCAUACUCCUUAUACAUAUAUUGUGGGUGUGUAUAUACUAUGUAAUUUGACAAAUAUUAUAGUAAAUAGUUGUUGAAACAUAAUGUGUAUUACACAAUUAUAUACAUUAAACUUUCAUAUAUAUACAUAAUGAAUGAUAUAUUAUUAUACUUUA